rnacentral:rRNA from 1 species
AAAUUGAAGAGUUUGAUCAUGGCUCAGAUUGAACGCUGGCGGCAGGCCUAACACAUGCAAGUCGAACGGUAACAGGAAGCAGGUUGCUGCUUCGCUGACGAGUGGCGGACGGGUGAGUAAUGUCUGGGAAACUGCCUGAUGGAGGGGGAUAACUACUGGAAACGGUAGCUAAUACCGCAUAAUGUCGCAAGACCAAAGAGGGGGACCUUCGGGCCUCUUGCCAUCGGAUGUGCCCAGAUGGGAUUAGCUUGUUGGUGGGGUAACGGCUCACCAAGGCGACGAUCCCUAGCUGGUCUGAGAGGAUGACCAGCCACACUGGAACUGAGACACGGUCCAGACUCCUACGGGAGGCAGCAGUGGGGAAUAUUGCACAAUGGGCGCAAGCCUGAUGCAGCCAUGCCGCGUGUAUGAAGAAGGCCUUCGGGUUGUAAAGUACUUUCAGCGGGGAGGAAGGGAGUAAAGUUAAUACCUUUGCUCAUUGACGUUACCCGCAGAAGAAGCACCGGCUAACUCCGUGCCAGCAGCCGCGGUAAUACGGAGGGUGCAAGCGUUAAUCGGAAUUACUGGGCGUAAAGCGCACGCAGGCGGUUUGUUAAGUCAGAUGUGAAAUCCCCGGGCUCAACCUGGGAACUGCAUCUGAUACUGGCAAGCUUGAGUCUCGUAGAGGGGGGUAGAAUUCCAGGUGUAGCGGUGAAAUGCGUAGAGAUCUGGAGGAAUACCGGUGGCGAAGGCGGCCCCCUGGACGAAGACUGACGCUCAGGUGCGAAAGCGUGGGGAGCAAACAGGAUUAGAUACCCUGGUAGUCCACGCCGUAAACGAUGUCGACUUGGAGGUUGUGCCCUUGAGGCGUGGCUUCCGGAGCUAACGCGUUAAGUCGACCGCCUGGGGAGUACGGCCGCAAGGUUAAAACUCAAAUGAAUUGACGGGGGCCCGCACAAGCGGUGGAGCAUGUGGUUUAAUUCGAUGCAACGCGAAGAACCUUACCUGGUCUUGACAUCCACGGAAGUUUUCAGAGAUGAGAAUGUGCCUUCGGGAACCGUGAGACAGGUGCUGCAUGGCUGUCGUCAGCUCGUGUUGUGAAAUGUUGGGUUAAGUCCCGCAACGAGCGCAACCCUUAUCCUUUGUUGCCAGCGGUCCGGCCGGGAACUCAAAGGAGACUGCCAGUGAUAAACUGGAGGAAGGUGGGGAUGACGUCAAGUCAUCAUGGCCCUUACGACCAGGGCUACACACGUGCUACAAUGGCGCAUACAAAGAGAAGCGACCUCGCGAGAGCAAGCGGACCUCAUAAAGUGCGUCGUAGUCCGGAUUGGAGUCUGCAACUCGACUCCAUGAAGUCGGAAUCGCUAGUAAUCGUGGAUCAGAAUGCCACGGUGAAUACGUUCCCGGGCCUUGUACACACCGCCCGUCACACCAUGGGAGUGGGUUGCAAAAGAAGUAGGUAGCUUAACCUUCGGGAGGGCGCUUACCACUUUGUGAUUCAUGACUGGGGUGAAGUCGUAACAAGGUAACCGUAGGGGAACCUGCGGUUGGAUCACCUCCUUACCUUAAAGAAGC